rnacentral:lncRNA from 1 species
CCUGUCCUGCUAAUCAUUCACAUGUAAUGGGUACUUUUGAGUGUCAGGGAAAAUGCGGAUCUAGUGUAGCUGUAGCAGUUAAACUUUAGUACGCUGCUUUCCAUCUUGUCGACACGAACACACUUUUCAGAAUGUAACUAUACUUUUUCAAAUGUUAUCCUCGUCGCCAUUGUUCAAACCUACACUUACAACUUGUGCUAAAUUAGGAUAUUAUACUCUAUUGAAUAAACCGGACUCGGGUACAUUUCAACACGUCUUUACUCCAUGACUGUGUAACGGUGUAACAAGAUCCUAGCAUUAUUUCCAAAAGAAAAAAAGCAUGCAUCAUAAAUUAGAAAUUACAUUUAUUUGAUGUAACUUCUAAUUGUGCUUAUCGUACAUCAUUUUCUGCUUGGUUUCAAGAGAAAUGCAUUGAAAGAGAGAAAUGAAACUACCAAGGUCUAAUACAUGUAACUUCUACUUUCUGAUGUUUUCUAAUGUUUUCUAAUUUAUGAUGCAUGUAUUUUUUUUAUUCGGAAAAUAAUGCUGGGUUCUUUUUACACCGUUACACAGUCAUGGAGUAAAGACGUGUUGAAAUGUACAUCGUAGCCAGACAAAUACAGAAACACAAUGCUUACGAACUGCAUCUCCGAAAUACUGUCACAUGUGUAUUUUAUUUGCAUCUUGGAACAUAUUGUACAAUAAGCUAUAACGUUUUUACCAGGCUAUCCAUUUAUCCCGUUCGCGAAUCACAACACACAUAUAACUUUGAUACGCUCGGGGGAAUGUAUACUGCAAACUUUCACCCAAUGACCUUUUGCUAAGCCCCCGUUUUGGGAAACCAGUUGCAGUGCUCCAGUGGAUAGCAGCUGUCUUCCAGUCCGACACGUUGGACAAGCUCACGUUUAAAACGCAUGAGAGCUAAUGAAGGCUGUGGCAAAAACUGCGUUUUCUUCAAAAAAAAAUUCUCACGGCGUGACGUGGAUGCAUCGGAGAAAAAGACGUGCAAGGGAAUAAACGCCCGUUUCAAGGAACCAACCUGUGUCUUGUCGUGAAGAGAGCUACAUGCCCCUUGUCAUUGUACAUCUGAAGCAGAGAAUAGCUGAACUCACAAAUCAUCUCCAUAUUGUUGAGAUAGCUAUAUGUUCUCAAUUGUAAAUGCCAAGAGUGUGCAAAUCUGUCAUCAAGGCAAAUGGUGGCUACUUUGAAGAAUCUCAAAUAUAAAAUAUAUUUAGAUUUGUUUAACACUUUGAUUACUACAUGAUUCCAUACGUGUUAUUUCAUAGUUUGUCUUCACUAUUAUUCUACAAUGUAGAAAAAUAGUAAAAAUAAAGAAAAAAAACUUGAAUGAGUAUGUGUGUCCAAACUCUUGACUGGUACUGUGUAUAUAUACAUAUAUAUACACCCACACACACAGUGGCAAGAAAAAGUAUGUGAACCCUUUUGGAAUUACCUGGAUUUCUGCAUAAAUUGGUCAUAAAAUUUGACCUGAUCUUCAUCUAAGUCACAACAAUAGACAAGCAGUCUGCUUAAACUAAUAACACACAAUGUGUUUUCAUGUCUUUAUUGAACACACCGUGUAAACAUUCACUGUAGGGUGGAAAAAGUAUGUGAACCCUUGGAUUUAAUAACUGGUUGACCCUCCUUUGGCAGCAAUAACCUCAACCAAAUGUUUUCUGUAGUUGCGGAUCAGACAUGCACAGCGGUCAGGAGGAAUUUUGGACCAUUCAUCUUUACAGAACUGUUUCAGUUCAGCAAUAUUCUUAGGAUGUCUGGUGUGAAUUGCUCGAGGUCAUACCACAGCAUUUUAAAUUGGGAUGAGGUCAGGACUCUGACUGGGCCUCUCCAGAAGGUGUAUUUUCUUCUGUUGAAGCCAUUCUGUUGUUGAUUUACUUCUGUGUUUUGGGUCGUGGUCCUGUUGCAUCACCCAACUUCUGUUGAGCUUCAAUUGGCGGACAGAUAGCCUUACCUUCUCCUACAAAAUGUCUUGAUAAACUUGGGAAUUCAUUUUCCGUCCAUGAUAGCAAGCUGUCCAGGCCCUGAGGCAGCAAAGCAGCCCCAAACCAAAAUGCUCCCUCCACCAUACUUUACAGUUGGGAUUAGCAUGUUCCAGAGAUUUCUGUAAGUCUUUAGCUGACACUCUAGGAAUCUUCUUAACCUCAUUGAGCAUUCUGCACUGUGCUCUUGCAGUCAUCUUUGCUGGACGGCCACUCCUAGGGAGAGUAGCAACAGUGCUGAACUUUCUCCAUUUAUAGACAAUUUGUCUUACUGCAGACUGACGAACAUCAAGGUUUUUAGAGAUACUUUUGUAACCCUUUCCAGCUUUAUAUAAGUUAACAAUUAUUAGGUCUUCUGCGCUCUCUUUUGUUUGAGGCAUGGUUCACAUCAGGCAAUGCUUCUUGUGAAUAGAAAACUCCAAUUUUGUGAGUGUUUUUUAUAGGGCAGGGCAGCUCUAACCAACAUCUCCAAUCUCAUCUCAUUGAUUGGACUCAGGUUAGCUGAAUCCUGACUCCAAUUAGCUUUUGGAAAAGUCAUUAGCCUAGGGGUUCACAUACCUUUUCCAACCUACACUGUGAAUGUUUAAAUGAUGUAUUCAAUACAGACAAGAAAAAUACAACAAUUGGUGUGUUAUUAGUUUAAGCACACUGUGUUUGUCUAUUGCUGUGACUAAGAUCAGAUCAAAUUUGAUAACUAAUUUAUGCAGAAAUCCAGGUAAUUCCAAAGAGUUCACAUACUUUUUUCCCCCACUGUAUAUGUACGCAUGAUCACGCAGCAUCCGGUCAAAAGGGUUGUUAAACCUUGAUGGAGAUUGCAUGGUGGGUUUGCAGUUUACACAGUGUUGUGUAUGUAUUUGCAGAAUAAAC